UAUCUUCAGGGCAGGGUGUGAUUCCUGACCGGUGGUAAAGCCCACGAACUCCCUCAGGAGCCGAUCUGGUGGAAUUCCAGAGCCGACGGUAAAAGUCCGGAUGAAAGAAGAUG
rnacentral:ncRNA from 1 species